CGCGGGGUGGAGCAGCCUCGGUAGCUCGUCGGGCUCAUAACCCGAAGGUCGUCGGUUCAAAUCCGGCCCCCCGCAACCA
rnacentral:tRNA from 1 species